AGAGUUUGAUCCUGGCUCAGGAUGAACGCUAGCGGCAGGCCUAAUACAUGCAAGUCGAACGGUAAAUAUUUAGCAAUAAAUAUGAGAGUGACGUACGGGUGCGUAACACGUAUGCAACCUACCCUUUACAGGCGGAUAGCUCGGGGAAACUCGAAUUAACCCGCCGUAAUAUAAUUGGAUGGCAUCAUCUGGUUAUUAAAUCUACGGAGGUAAAGGAUGGGCAUGCGUCUGAUUAGUUAGUUGGCGGGGUAACGGCCCACCAAGACAUGAUCCGUAGGGGAACUGAGAGGUUGAUCCCCCACACUGGCACUGAGAUACGGGCCAGACUCCUACGGGAGGCAGCAGUAGGGAAUAUUGGUCAAUGGAUGGAAGUCUGAACCAGCCAUGCCGCGUGCAGGAAGAAGGCCUUCUGGGUUGUAAACUGCUUUUGCCAGGGGAUAAAAUGACCUUGCGAGGUUAAUUGAAGGUACCUGGUGAAUAAGCCACGGCUAACUACGUGCCAGCAGCCGCGGUAAUACGUAGGUGGCAAGCGUUGUCCGGAUUUAUUGGGUUUAAAGGGUGCGUAGGCGGCUUAUUAAGUCAGUGGUGAAAUACACUAGCUCAACUAGAGGGGUGCCAUUGAUACUGAUGAGCUUGAGUACAGAUGAGGUAGGCGGAAUUGACGGUGUAGCGGUGAAAUGCUUAGAUAUCGUCAAGAACACCUAUAGCGAAGGCAGCUUACUAGGCAGUAACUGACGCUGAGGCACGAAAGUGUGGGGAUCAAACAGGAUUAGAUACCCUGGUAGUCCACACUGUAAACGUUGAUUACUCGCUGUGUGCGAUAUACAGUACGCGGCCAAGCGAAAGCGAUAAGUAACCCACCUGGGGAGUACGCCGGCAACGGUGAAACUCAAAGGAAUUGACGGGGGUCCGCGCAAGCGGUGGAGCAUGUGGUUUAAUUCGAUGAUACGCGAGGAACCUUACCUGGACUAGAAUGCCCUUGACCGAUCCAGAGAUGGAUUUUUCCGCAAGGACAAGGAGCAAGGUGCUGCAUGGCCGUCGUCAGCUCGUGCCGUGAGGUGUUGGGUUAAGUCCCGCAACGAGCGCAACCCCUAUUUUUAGUUGCCAACAGGUUAAGCUGGGACUCUAAAAAGACUGCCCGCGCAAGCGGAGAGGAAGGAGGGGACGACGUCAGGUCAUCAUGGCCCUUACGUCCAGGGCUACACACGUGCUACAAUGGCGUAUACAGAGUGUUGCAAACCAGCGAUGGUAAGCCAAUCACAAAAAGUACGUCUCAGUUCGGAUUGCAGGCUGCAACUCGCCUGCAUGAAGUUGGAAUCGCUAGUAAUCGCGCAUCAGCAAUGGCGCGGUGAAUACGUUCCCGGACCUUGUACACACCGCCCGUCAAGCCAUGAGAGUCGGGAGGACCUGAAGGCAGUUGCUGUAAGGCGCUGUUUAGGGUUAAACCGAUGAUUAGGGCUAAGUCGGAACAAGGUA
rnacentral:rRNA from 1 species